AUGCUUCUCAUUGUAAAUUAUGUUGGAUUCAUUGGUGAAUUGAUAUUUGAAGUUUGCCAUUCCACAUAAACAUUUUUAAAAAGCAUUUAGUAUUUGUGUGCGAGCAUGUAAGCAUAUGUCGACAUAUGCCCAUGGAGGCUAGAAUGCUUUGGAGAUGCAUUGCAGACAUUGUGACAUGUUUGAUGUGUGUCAUGGGAUGGAAAUCCUAGUCUUCAUGAUUGAACAGUAAGUAUUCUUAACUGCUCAUCCGUCCCUCAAGCCCCUGCAUAAAUGUCUUGUUUUUCAAUCAUGUUUAAUGGUAGUUAAAGAAAAUGGCUUUGUGAAU
rnacentral:lncRNA from 1 species